UACGAAGGGGGGCUAGCGUUGCUCGGAAUCACUGGGCGUAAAAGGGGCGCGUAGGCGGAUCUUUUAAGUCGGGGGGUGAAAGCCUGAGGCUCAACCUCAGAAUUGCCUUCGAUACUGGGAGAUCUUUGAGACCGGAAGAGGUAAGUGGAACUGCGAGUGUAGAGGGUGAAAAUUCGUAGAUAUUCGCAAGAACACCAGUGGCGAAGGC
rnacentral:rRNA from 1 species